rfam:Clostridium sp. SY8519 DNA, complete genome.
UCGUAUCUUCAGGGAUGGGUGCAAUUCCCUACCGGCGGUAAAGCCCGCGAGCGUCCGAUACGGACAGCAGAUCCGGUGAGAUUCCGGGGCCGACAGUACAGUCUGGAUGGAAGAAGAAGGAU